ensembl:lncRNA
UAGAAGACAGCGCGCUAGCGUAUCUAGUCUAUGUAUAUCUAUGGUCGGCACGUCUGGCAGCAUCUCUGGCUGCUGUUGAUCUUGUUUUUGAAGUAAAACACGGUGGAAGCUGAAUUAGUGAGGAUGACUCCUGCUCCUGUCAUCUCUAAGCUCCUCACACAUCUUUACCUGCACAUGAGGAAAAUCACUCCUGUAGAAUGCAGGGUGAGUCCUACCUAGACCAGGCUGAUCCUGGACCAUCCCACAGAUGCUCAAUGAGAUCUGGAUGUGGGGAGUGUGGAACCCAGAUGUUCAGAGGGAGAUGAUGCCACAUCUGGUCCAGCUGAUGGAAGGUCUUGAAGUUCUCUGACUGGCCUCGACUGAAGAUGGUCGUCUCACUGGAUUUAAGGUUCAGAUGCUCAGUAACAAACUCCACCAAUGAGCCAACAGGGAAGCUUUAGGUUUAUUAAAUGUUGCUAUGAAGGUUUCGCUGUUUUUCUUUGUGAAUGCAAUGAGCUCCAACUGAAACUUGAAUUAGAACUUAGAAGUAAAUCCUUCCAUCUGAAAGGAUUUAGUUGGAUUAAUAACCUCAUAACAUUCUAAUUUUUAUUCCAGUCUUGGUUGGAAAUAGAAUCUCUGUAUUGAUUCAGGUAAAAACUGAACUUCACAGCAUGUUGGAGCAAAACAACCAGAUGAAAACUGUGAUGGUGUUGGAUUGUCAGACCGUAAUGUUGCAGCUCAAAGCAGCUUUUCUAUCUCAGUUCAUUCUGACAUUCAGCUAUGAAUCAACACAGCAGAUGGUGAUCCAUGCUGUGGAAGUCUCACAUCUCCUGAUUUAAUGGAGCUGCUUUGCACUUUUUACACUGUUUAUUCACCAACACUUUAUUUAAUAAAAGUCCCAUCUAGUUUUUAUGAGGAAUGUGAUGUUUUAAUUUCUCUGUGAAUAACUGCAGUCUAAUGCAACAGCUGGAGUUGUAACAUCUGUCCUGAUAUUGAUCAUGAAGUAUUGAUCAGAAUACUUAUGGUUAGCAGUCAUCCCUGAAGUUUUACAUUAAAAUCUUUACUUGUGUUGUGAACUUUGGUAAGAAGCAGAAACAUUAGCGUUGCCAUGGAUACGUGAGUGUUAAAUUCUGUCCAUGUUUCAAUUUUGGGAAAUGCAGUCCAGUUCCAGAAUGUGGAGGAAUUUAGUCUCACAAUCACAGACAACAAAUAUUAUCUGAAAGUCGGGUUAUUGUUGUUUAUCAGCACAAUACAAAGAUUGUUAGAAAUAUUCCAGUGAAGACUCUGGAAUAUCAUGAUUUAUGUAAAUUUACCUCAAUAAUAUGAAUGUUCAGGUUAAGAUUGUGCAGUGAUAUUUAUUAUGUAAGUUUAGCUGAUUAAAGUUUAUGAC